GGGAGUUGUAGUUCCAAAACAUCUGGAGAGCCAAGGUUGCCUAUGCCUGUCCUAGGCGAAGGGAAGUCAGGAAUGCUGUCCAAGGGCACUGAAUCUGCCAGCUGUCCCUCUCCUGGUGUUCCCCCUUCUAGCUGUUCCUCACCCAGUAUUUCCCAGCUUUCCCCCUCUGGACUAUGCCCCUCUGCAAGUUACUGUUCUAAAUCAAUACUAUUCUCCUGCCAUUGGGAAGGUUCAGGCGAAGGGGGUGGGGCUUCCACUAUUCCUCCUCAGUCCAGCCCUUGAGAUCCACAUUCGACCUCAACAACAUUGCUAGGGCCACCUACCAAGGGUGAGUGUGGCCAGAACAUGCAGCAUUCUCCAUCCAGACAAGCAAGAAAUACCAUCUCAGUUCAAGGACACCUUCUGGCCAAAUACAAAUUCAUGCAGGAAGGGUCAGUGAGGGGUAUGGCCUGGGCAAAGUCCUGAAGACUGGACAAGAGAUGGCUGAAAGACUGCAUUUGGCACCUGGUCUCGAGGUAGAGCACAAAAUCUGCUAGCCCUUCUCCCCCUAAUUUAAGCCAAACUCUGCUUCACUGCGGCCUUCUAAAAGCAGCAAUUCAACAGGGAGAUCACAAAAGGAAGAGGCCCUCUCCCACCUUCAUAAUCGGGCCACUGCCAAGUCUUGGGCUUGGGUGUAUCAACACCAUAGACAAAUGGUUCUGAAUGGUUGCUUUGUCUCUGCAAGGCAGGGGUGCAUUCCCUUCUGGGCAAUGUUUUGGGGCCCACAUGCCAGUGGUUGGGAGAGCCAGAGGCAAAAAAUAAGCACAUUAUUAAAUGUGAAUUUUGCCUCUGUAAAGUAGGCUUGUUUUCUACACACACACACACACACACACACACA